rnacentral:misc_RNA from 1 species
ACAAUGACCUCCGCCUCUGGCAACUGCUUGACGCAGUUGGACAGCUGGGGAGGGAAACAUGGGCGCCUGGGGGAUAGUCACGAGAGUGGCAGGAACCUGGGAAGCACACAUUUAGACGGAGAGUGAUUGUGUGAUAAACAUUGGUAGAACUCGGCAGUAUGGAAACAUAUUGCAUGGAUCUACAUCCAAUAAACAAAAA